UUAGCUCAGCUGGGAGAGCACCUCCCUUACAAGGAGGGGGUCGGCGGUUCGAAUUUA
rnacentral:tRNA from 1 species